rnacentral:rRNA from 1 species
UACGUAGGGUGCAAGCGUUGUCCGGAAUUAUUGGGCGUAAAGAGCUCGUAGGCGGUUUGUCGCGUCUGCUGUGAAACCCGAGGCUCAACCUCGGCCUGCAGUGGUACGGGCAGACUAGAGUGCGGUAGGGAGAUUGGAAUUCCUGGUGUAGCGGUGGAAUGCGCAGAUAUCAGGAGGAACACCGGUGGCGAAGGCGGUCUCUGGGCCGAUACUGACGCUGAGAGCGAAGCGUGGGAGCGAACAGG